rnacentral:rRNA from 1 species
UACGGUGGGCGCAAGCGUUGUUCGGAAUCACUGGGCGUAAGGCGCGUGUAGGCGGCUCUGCAAGUCGGGUGUGAAAUCCCGAGGCUCAACCUCGGAACUGCACUCGAAACUGCUUGGCUCGAGUCCCGGAGAGGGUGGCGGAAUUCCCGGUGUAGGGGUGAAAUCCGUAGAUAUCGGGAGGAACACCAGUGGCGAAGGCGGCCACCUGGACGGUGACUGACGCUGAGACGCGAAAGCGUGGGGAGCAAACAGG